rnacentral:tRNA from 1 species
AGGUGAUUAGUUUAAUUAAAACAUUUGAUUUCGGCUCAAAAACCUGUGGUUAAAGUCCGCAAUAACCUA